AUACUUACCUGCCAGGGGAGAUAUCAUGAUCGCAAAGGUGGUUUUCCCAGGGUGAGGCUUAUCACUUGCACUUCCAAUGUGUUGAGCCCCUGAGACCAAAUGUGAGAAAUUUGACUACAUAAUUUGUGGUAGUAGUGGAGAAGGGAAAAAACUAGAAUGAGGGUAGACUAGAGCCUUCUCUAUCC
rnacentral:snRNA from 1 species